GCAUGGUCGAAGCGCUCUGAGGUCACGUAGGCAACCACAGACCUGCCCUCAUCCUCUGUCCCCUGUUAUUGGUGACAGGAGGAAUGUGUAGUGUCAAAAUGUCUUUCUUGGAGCAGGAAAAAGUGGGUUCCUGCUUUGAGGUCCUGCCCCGACUUCCCCCAGUGGUGUAGCAUUAUUGGGACAGAUUUAGGUAGGAUGCAUUCUCUGCUGAGAGGAAGGGUGUAACUGUGAUGAAGAUUUUUGGUGCUCACUGACUCCCGGACACUGAUGCCCACAGUCCUGCACCUUUGUCUGUGGUCUGCCCAGUAGCCAGGUCAAAGCAGGUCAAUGUCCUUUUACUCCACUAUCAAGGCUUUCCAGCCCAUCUGUGUUCCCUUGGUGCUAUACAAACAAUGGCUGGACCACCCUGGGUUGAUGAAGGCUCUUGGAGACCACAUAGAGCCAUCUGCUAAAGUUCUUGACAAUAUGGCCACUUCCACUAUGGCACUAGGGUGUGCAUGGGCUUCUCUAAGAGACUUGCUUUUGCCCAGAUUUAUACCCUGUCAGCUCACUUUUUUACUAAAGAAGCCAAAAUCUUGUGUUAUUAGUGACUAUUGUCAUUGCUGCAUAAAAAGCCCUUCAGG